UUUAAUUUUAAUCCUCCUGUUUUAAAAACAAGUAUUUUCGUCCCCUAUUUUAAUUUUUUAUGACUUUUGGCCCCUGAUCCCACUUUAGCUUGAAUUUCGAUGACAUGUGACAAAAACACUCAUGUCAUGGCAGAUGCCACCAAGUUUAUUCAUUGGUCGUAAUUUUUUUCGUCUCACUUUCUUUCCAUCAUAUCAAAGUGGGAUGUCCGAUGUUUGAACUCAAUCAUGCAUAUGUAAUGAGAUGUACAUAUACCAAUCGAGCUAAACUGCCAAUAUACCAAUCAUGCCUUCAUUACUUCACAUUGUUGUGGUAAAUGUUUGGAUAUUUGAUCUUUUAACUAUUUGAUUCUGAGUUCGAACACUAGUUAGUGCGUAUGAAAAAAUAUUAAAAAUUAAGGUUAUUCCUUAAAUAAAUAUAUAUUAG
rnacentral:lncRNA from 1 species